rnacentral:misc_RNA from 1 species
AAAUUAAAAAAAAAAAAAAAGAUACGAUGGGGUGGUAUAUGUUGCAUGCUUCAUCCUGUAACUUACCUGAACUGAGCUCAAUCAAGUUUGCUACUUUUAUUUUGUCUUUAUAUCCUCAAUAGCAAGAUAUUUACAGAAUAUCAUUUGAUGCUAAUACUUGUAACUCUAAUUCUCAUUCUUAGUCAAUUCAUAAAACUUCUAAAUAAUUUAGCUAGCUAUUCAAAAAUAAAAGAUAUCCACUCUUAAAUAUUUUGAUUAGAAAAGUAAGAAAGGUCCAGACCCUUAGUUGGCGUUACGAACAGUUAAAGAAUGGGCGGAUCAGCAAAGCUUGAAUUGUUUUCAAUAAUUGGCGAAUAUCGUUCAUGAAUAUUUCUUUUAGCUUUUCCUUAUGUUAUGCAUCUUGUGGUCAUUGGUGUUGAACUUAGUCCAUUAUCUUUUGCCAAAUUCUUAUCUACAUAUUCUAUAGUAGGGGGGCUUAAUAAAUAUAUUUUACAAGGAUUUUGUGUUUCAAUUAAUAAAGUUCAUGUUGUUAGUUCUUAUGACUCAGUUUGGACAAGAUUCUCGAAGAA